GGUUAAGCGACUAAGCGUACACGGUGGAUGCCCUGGCAGUCAGAGGCGAUGAAGGACGUGCUAAUCUGCGAUAAGCGUCGGUAAGGUGAUAUGAACCGUUAUAACCGGCGAUUUCCGAAUGGGGA
rnacentral:rRNA from 2 species